rnacentral:misc_RNA from 1 species
GAAAUGCGAUAAGUAGUGUGAAUUGCAGAAUUCAGUGAAUCAUCGAAUCUUUGAACGCACAUUGCGCCUCCUGGUAUUCCGGGAGGCAUGCCUGUCCGAGCGUCAUGCAAAAACAUAAGCCUUGCCCAGUGAUUUUCUUGGGUCUAGGUUUGCUUUUGAGGGAUGAGCCCUAGCAUCUGGCUUCGCUCCCCCUAGAAUUCCAGAGGCGAACUGAAAUGAAAUCUCACCGUGGGUUUGGGGCCGUAGUAAUGAAUUGAAUUUUCUUGUCUCGCCCAUCCUGCGCGCUAGCGAUCAUCAUGACUCUUCAGCCGAUCAAACCACACCUUUACUUCUGUUUUUGACCUCGGAUCAGGUAGGGAUACCCGCUGAACUUAA